rnacentral:rRNA from 1 species
GAUUUUUUUAAAUAUUAGAAUAUUAGAUGAAAGUUACAUAUGAAUUAAUCUUCAAAUAUAACUAUUUUUUUAUAAUUUAUUAUUUUAUAAUCUUAUUAAUAAAAUUAUAUUUAUAUAAAUGUAAUAUUAAAUUAAUAAUGUUAAAAUUAGUAUAGUAAAUAAAAUUUAACUAAGGAACUCGGCUAAGUAUUAUUCAUCUGUUUAUCAAAAACAUAGUCUUAUGAGUAUCAUAUAAGAUGAAGCCUGCCCACUGAUAAAAUUUAAAUGGCCGCAGUACCUUGACUGUGCUAAGGUAGCAUAAUAAAUUGACUCUUAAUUGGGGCCUUGAAUGAAUGGAUAAAUGGAUAAUUUCUGUCUCAAAUAAAUUUAUUAAAAGUUACUUAAAAGGUGAAAAUUCCUUUAAUUAUAUUUAAUAGACGAGAAGACCCUAGGAGUUUAAAAUUUUGUUGGGGCGACAAUAUAGCAUAUUAUAUUAACCUAUAUACAUAUUUAUUAUAUAAAACGAAUAAUAUUAAUAAUAAAUAAACUACCCUAGGGAUAACAGCAUAAUAUUAAUUUUAAGUUUGUGACCUCGAUGUUGGACUAGGGACUUUUAACAUUAACAAUGUUAAUUGAUAGUUCUGUUCGA